ACGGGUGAGUAACACGUGGGCAACCUGCCUGUAAGACUGGGAUAACUUCGGGAAACCGAAGCUAAUACCGGAUAGGAUCUUCUCCUUCAUGGGAGAUGAUUGAAAGAUGGUUUCGGCUAUCACUUACAGAUGGGCCCGCGGUGCAUUAGCUAGUUGGUGAGGUAACGGCUCACCAAGGCAACGAUGCAUAGCCGACCUGAGAGGGUGAUCGGCCACACUGGGACUGAGACACGGCCCAGACUCCUACGGGAGGCAGCAGUAGGGAAUCUUCCGCAAUGGACGAAAGUCUGACGGAGCAACGCCGCGUGAGUGAUGAAGGCUUUCGGGUCGUAAAACUCUGUUGUUAGGGAAGAACAAGUACGAGAGUAACUGCUCGUACCUUGACGGUACCUAACCAGAAAGCCACGGCUAACUACGUGCCAGCAGCCGCGGUAAUACGUAGGUGGCAAGCGUUAUCCGGAAUUAUUGGGCGUAAAGCGCGCGCAGGCGGUUUCUUAAGUCUGAUGUGAAAGCCCACGGCUCAACCGUGGAGGGUCAUUGGAAACUGGGGAACUUGAGUGCAGAAGAGAAAAGCGGAAUUC
rnacentral:rRNA from 1 species